CUACGGGUGGCUGCAGUGGGGAAUAUUGUACAAUGGAGGAAACUCUGAUGCAGCAACGCCGCGUGGAGGAUGACACUUUUCGGAGCGUAAACUCCUUUUAUAUAGGAAGAAGAUGACGGUACUAUAUGAAUAAGCGCCGGCUAACUCCGUGCCAGCAGCCGCGGUAAUACGGAGGGCGCAAGCGUUACUCGGAAUCACUGGGCGUAAAGAGCGUGUAGGCGGAUUAAAAAGUCAGAAGUGAAAUCCUAUAGCUUAACUAUAGAACUGCUUCUGAAACUCUUAAUCUAGAAUAUGGGAGAGGUAGAUGGAAUUUCUGGUGUAGGGGUAAAAUCCGUAGAGAUCAGAAGGAAUACCGAUUGCGAAGGCGAUCUACUAGAACAUUAUUGACGCUGAGACGCGAAAGCGUGGGAGCAAACAGGAUUAGAUACCCUAGUAGUC
rnacentral:rRNA from 1 species